UACGUAGGGUGCGAGCGUUGUCCGGAUUUAUUGGGCGUAAAGAGCGUGUAGGCGGCCAGGUAGGUCAGCUGUGAAAACUCGAGGCUCAACCUCGAGACGCCGGUUGAAACCAUCUGGCUAGAGUCCGGAAGAGGAGAGUGGAAUUCCUGGUGUAGCGGUGAAAUGCGCAGAUAUCAGGAAGAACACCCGUGGCUAAGGCGGCUCUCUAGUACGGUACUGACGCUGAGACGCGAAAGCGUGGGGAGCAAACAGG
rnacentral:rRNA from 1 species